rnacentral:rRNA from 1 species
AACGAACGCUGGCGGCAGGCUUAACACAUGCAAGUCGAACGCAUCCUUCGGGGUGAGUGGCAGACGGGUGAGUAACGCGUGGGAACGUGCCCUUCAGUUCGGGAUAACCCAGGGAAACUUGGGCUAAUACCGGAUACGUGCGAGAGCAGAAAGAUUUAUCGCUGAAGGAUCGGCCCGCGUCUGAUUAGCUAGUUGGUGGGGUAAUGGCCCACCAGGGCGACGAUCAGUAGCUGGUCUGAGAGGAUGAGCAGCCACAUUGGGACUGAGACACGGCCCAAACUCCUACGGGAGGCAGCAGUGGGGAAUAUUGGACAAUGGGCGCAAGCCUGAUCCAGCCAUGCCGCGUGAGUGAUGAAGGCCUUAGGGUUGUAAAGCUCUUUCGUCCGGGACGAUAAUGACGGUACCGGAAGAAGAAGCCCCGGCUAACUUCGUGCCAGCCGCCGCGGUAA